rnacentral:rRNA from 1 species
GACGUAGGGCGCGAGCGUUGUCCGGAUUUAUUGGGCGUAAAGAGCUCGUAGGCGGUUUGUCGCGUCUGCUGUGAAAACCCGAGGCUCAACCUCGGGCCUGCAGUGGGUACGGGCAGACUAGAGUGCGGUAGGGGAGAUUGGAAAUUCCUGGUGUAGCGGUGGAAUGCGCAGAUAUCAGGAGGAACACCAAUGGCGAAGGCAGAUCUCUGGGCCGUAACUGACGCUGAGGAGCGAAAGCAUGGGGAGCGAACAGG